rnacentral:lncRNA from 1 species
AUGCAGCCUGCUUCUGCAAAGUGGUACUAUCGAAGGGACUAUGUCUUCACUGAAUUCUGUGAACACAGUAAGGAUGUUCAUGUAAAUUUUGAAAAAUCCAAACUUAACAUUCAGUUGUCUCAGAGGAAGUGAUAAUUUUAAGUAUUUAAAUGAAGUUGAUCUUUUUCACAGUAUUGAUCCUAAUGAUUCCAAGCAUAAAAAAAACGGACAGAUCAAUUGUAUGUUGUUUACGAAAAGGAGAAUCUGGCCAGUCAUAGCCAAGGUUAACAAAAGGAAGGGCAAAACUCAAUUGGCUUAGUGUGGACUUCAGUAAUUGGAAACACUGGGAAGAUGGUUCAGAUGAAGACAGGUCUAAUUUUGAUCGUUUCUCUGAGAUGAUGAACAACAUGGGUGGUGAAGAGGAUGCAGAUUGACCAGAAGUAGAUGGAGCAGGUGAUGAUUCACAAGACAGCGAUGAUGAAAAAAUGCCAGAUCGGGAGUAA